rnacentral:rRNA from 1 species
GUAUAAAUAGUAUACAGUGAAACUGCGAAUGGCUCAUUAAAACAGUUAUAGUUUAUUUGAUAAUUGACAAUUACAUGGAUAACCGUGGUAAUUCUAGAGCUAAUACAUGCUUAAACGCCCGACUUUAUGGAAGGAUGGUAUUUAUUAGACUGAAGCCAAUAUUCCUUGUGUCUAUUGCGGUGAUUCAUAAUAACUGAUCGAAUCUCUUUUUGAGAUAAAUCAUUCAAGUUUCUGCCCUAUCAGCUUUCGAUGGUAGUGUAUUGGACUACCAUGGCAGUAACGGGUAACGAAGAAUUAGGGUUCGAUUUCGGAGAGGGAGCAUGAGAAACGGCUACCACAUCUAAGGAAGGCAGCAGGCGCGUAAAUUACCCAAUCCUGACUCAGGGAGGUAGUGACAAGAAAUAGCAAACCGGGAACCUCAUGGUUUCACGGUAUUGCAAUGAGAACAAUUUAAAACCCUUAGCGAGAAUCAAGUGGAGGACAAGUCUGGUGCCAGCACCCGCGGUAAUUCCAGCUCCACUAGCGUAUAUUAAAGUUGUUGCAGUUAAAAAGCUCGUAGUUGGACCUCUGUCUGGGGCUAGUUUUGGCUUUGGUCAGGCUAGUUCUAGGCAUCCGCCUACAAGACUUAGAGGGCAUUCAGUUGUUCACUAGGAGGAGUAGGCAUUUUACUUUGAAAAAAUUAGAGUGUUUAAGGCAGGCAAUCGCCCGCAUAUAUUAGCAUGGAAUAAUAGAAUAGGACACUUUUCCAUUUCGUUGGUUAUUGGAAUCGUGUAAUGAUUAAUAGGGACAGUUGUGGGCAUUUGUAUUUAAUUGUCAGAGGUGAAAUUCUUGGAUUUAUUAAAGACAAACUAACGCGAAAGCAUUUGCCAAGGAUGUUUUCAUUAAUCAAGAACGAAAGUUAGGGGAUCAAAGACGAUCAGAUACCGUCCUAGUCUUAACUAUAAACUAUUCCGACUCAAUGUUUGACUGGCUUAUAUAACCAGUUGAGCGUUGUAUGAGAAAUCAAAGUCUUUAGGUUCUGGGGGGAGUAUGGUUGCAAAGCUGAAACUUAAAGGAAUUGACGGAAGAGCACAACCAGGAGUGGAUUCUGCGGCUUAAUUUGACUCAACACGGGGAAACUUACCAGGUUAAAACAAUAGUGGGAUUGACAGUUUGAGAGCGCUUUCUUGAUUGGUUGGGUGGUGGUGCAUGGCCGUUCUUAGUUGGUGGAGUGAUUUGUCUGCUUAAUUGCGUUAACGAACGAGACCUUAACCUGCUUACUAGACUGGC